CAGCAGCCGCGGGAAAACGUAGGGUGCGAGCGUUAAUCGGAAUUACUGGGCGUAAAGCGUGCGCAGGCGGUUCGUUAAGACAGAUGUGAAAUCCCCGGGCUUAACCUGGGAACUGCAUUUGUGACUGGCAAGCUAGAGUGUGGCAGAGGGGGGUGGAAUUCCGCGUGUAGCAGUGAAAUGCGUAGAUAUGCGGAGGAACACCGAUGGCGAAGGCAAUCCCCUGGGCCUGCACUGACGCUCAUGCACGAAAGCGUGGGGAGCAAACGGGAUUAGAUACCCCUGUAGUCCCUGUCUCUUAUAC
rnacentral:rRNA from 1 species